rnacentral:SRP_RNA from 1 species
GCCCUCUAAAGGUGUGGGGAGCCAGGCACCUAUAGUCUCAGCUACUCAGGGGGCUGAGGUAGGACGAUCGCAUGCGCCCAGGAGUUCUGGGCUGUGGUGUGCUAUGCCAAUCGGGUGUCCGUGCUAAGUUUAGUAUCAAUAGGGUGACCUUCUGGGAGCAGGGACCACCAGGUUUCCUAAGAAGGAUUGACAUGGCCUGGGGCCAAAUGGAGCCGAUCAAAACUCCUAUGCUGAUCAGUAGCAGGAUAUGCCUGUGAAUAGCCACUGCACUCCAGCCUGGACAAUGUAGCACGACCCCGUGUCUU